GGGACUCGAGAGCCUACGGCCCUGUAAGAAACAAAUCCUACUGCUCCCUUGGAAAUUUUCACCUAAUUCCUUCGCGUCAUCUUGAUAUGAUAGAUAAAACUGCAAUCAAGCAUCAGUUCACCAUAGGCAGUGUUGAUGAUUUUUCAAGUCCAUGCGAAAACGGUUCCUUGUAAUGUACCAGUGCUGCUGCUAGCUUAAUCGCGGUUUGUGUUUGUGACUGAAGCUGGUCAGAAAAGCGAGCAACUCAGACUCCUUGCCCGGGUUUGUUAGACAAUGGAAACUGCCCCCAUCUACUUGUAGCUUGAUUAUUUAGCACCUGACACCAACAUGUCGAAUCCCUAUCGGUUUUGGAUGGAAGGGGCUUAAGCGUCGACCCAGUUUAUUUCUGUGAAACCCAAAUAACACCCAUUACACUUCGGGCUUAAACAUGAAUGAAAGCAACCUAAAGAUGAACCGGAACCAACAUGAAGCCGCUCCUUCCUUUGUUCUGGGGUCUUCCUAUCUUGCACUGCCCCCUUACCUGUUAUGCAUCAUUGUACUACACUGUUUAUAUCUUCCGGUUUGAUCUAGCUGCUGUUUGUAUUGUACCAAAUUGAACCCAUAUUUUUCCUCAAAAAAAAAAAUUGAACCCAUAUUGCUUAUAGCUCCCUUAAAUAAGUGCCUAAUGCCUAUUUUUGAUACUGCUAUGGAAAACAUAUCGCCGGGUCCAUGCUAGCGUGAAUUGCUUCUGUCGCUCAUCUUUAGUCAGGAAAACGGUUGAUGGUUUCAGUUGCAGAAAACAUAUCUGUGCCUUGGUCCUGGCAAUGAUGAACAUGUUAAUUCUUGUGCUGUCUGCAGGUGCCGCUCGGUCUGGUGCAGGGGAGGGUGACGCACGUGGUGUGGCCGCCUAGCAAGAUGGGCCGCGUCCACAAGAGGGUGCCGUCGGAAGGAAGGGUCAUGCCACAGCGCAAUCUCUAGCCUCCCUCGGCGGCCGCUUUGUCCCGCAGUUGUGUUGGUUCUCGCAGGAGAUUCAUCAUCUCAUGUAAUAACAGAUGUAACAUGAACACACAUUGCGCGUUCCAGAUGUGGCAGAGCAAUAGAGAGUUUCUUCCCGUGUAACAUCACCUAUCGGCUGUAUAAGAAGGGAUCCAUCCAUUCUAAGGGAAGGGGAAGCAGAGGUUUUGGUAGGAGGAGCCUGCU
rnacentral:lncRNA from 1 species